CCCAGGAGGCCCGAGGUAGCCGAAUUCCUCCUGUCCCGCACCCUCACCUCCUUCUGCAAAGAAGGAACGUUCCAUUGCUAGGGACUGAACGUUGGGAGCAACACGAAACUCAGAAGAGCGCCAGCGUUUGCAGGAGAAGCCAAGCGGUUCUGAGCCCGGGAGCCACAGAAGUCAAGUCCAGUCCAGUGUUCGCUGGGCAGCCCUUGGGCUGUGUGAUGAGUUAGGAUAUGCUGCCCACCUGACUUUUCAAGUUCAGGACUUUCCUAGGGGAUGAGAAGGCAGGGUACUCCCCUCAUCUACUCUAUUACGCUUCUCCUGCUCGAUGGAUGGAACCACCAGAUCCCCACACUGUGCAGGCAAAGCCAGUCCCAGCCAUGAAACAUGACACCUGUGAAGAUUUUUGACUGGAGGACUGUUACCCAUUAACCCAGGCCCUUUCAAUACAGUCAGG